rnacentral:rRNA from 1 species
UCCUACGGGGCGCAGCAGUGAGGAAUAUUGGUCAAUGGACGAGAGUCUGAACCAGCCAAGUAGCGUGAAGGAUGACUGCCCUAUGGGUUGUAAACCUCUUUUGUCGGGGAGCAAAAGCCGGACGUGUCCGUCUGUGAGAGUACCCGAAGAAAAAGCAUCGGCUAACUCCGUGCCAGCAGCCGCGGUAAUACGGAGGAUGCGAGCGUUAUCCGGAUUUAUUGGGUUUAAAGGGUGCGCAGGCGGAUUUUUAAGUCAGCGGUCAAAUCGUGGGGCUCAACCUCAUCCAGCCGUUGAAACUGGGGAUU